CUUCCACCGACAUAACCACUUUUGUCAUCUUCAUCGUCUCAUUAUAUAAAGUCGUCAUCGUUUUGUCCAUUUGAUCGAUGUCUCUCCUCAUCUACGUUCUUCAGAGUUGAUAUCUUGCAAUUUUGCUUUCUUUCUAUUUUUAAUGAUUCACUUCUUUCCUCUGCGCUACAUAUACUACCGACAUAGUCUAUUUUCUCCCUUUCAUUCCCUUCCUCAGCAACAUUGUAAAAAUGCUUUUUUCUAUUUUGCUUACCUAUAUACGUUGUCAUAGCUAUAAAAUAUCCGUCCUCAAAACAAAAACAGUUUGGGAUGAUGAACUGUCCUAAGAAGUGUUAUAUCCCGUAUUUUUGAACGUCGGAUUAUUUGUAAGCUGAGGUGGGGCCCACACGUCAAGAUUUUUUUUUUUUUUGAAACAUGUGACAAGUUAUAUGAAUCACAUAUGUAAAGUUAAACACAACUCAUGAAGGACCCUUGGGCCAAAUCAAAGUGGAAGUCCUCCAAACGAAUAUUUUUAAGAAAACGUUUUCGGGUGACCUGAAUUUGGGGGGCAAAAACGGUAUUAUAAGUUUGGAAUUUGGAAAUAUAACAAGAAAUAGAAGUUGUAGAUAAUUGAAUUAGCUUUCCAACCAUAGGUCGUGGGUCCCCAGGUGACGUCCGUACAAGGAGAUAUGGACGUUUUAAGGUCGAACGGUCAGUGGGCUAGAUCCAACUCGGGACCAACCGGGUUGGCCCAAAAAAAAAUGAAGAGAAAAAUCAGGCCCAAGUGAGGAGGUGGCCGGCCAUGGUCCUUAAUAAAGGACCCAAGCCCAUUUAAAUUAGUCAUGUGAUUAAUAAUAAAAGGGGCUAAGUCUUCAUUUUCAACCAAGAACAUUCUUGAAGCAAAGAACAAAAGAGAAUAAGAGCAAAGAAAAACAUGGCAUACGGCCAUGACCCCCAAAUUUUAGCUCCUUAAAAUCUUCCUCCAAAAAUUAUUUUCUUGUGGUAUUCCCACUAAUUCAAGGGUCAUUUACAACUUGGUGUAAUUAUUUUGGAAGAAAUAGCACUUGUUUCUUCAAGUUGACAACUUGGUCAAGUGAAGAAGAUUGUAGAAAAAGAUUUUGAAGGAAACGAGAAUUGAAUUUGAAAUAGCAUAAGGAGCGGAAAGAGGUCAGCAGGUAGACAGAUUUGACUCCCAGGAGCUCCAUCAGCAGUACUGCGGCAGCGCUCCAGUUGUUUCGGAGCCUCAGUUUCUUAGUACUACUUUUGUGUAUAUAUUCGGGCACGGUAGGACCCGGCCCUUCUUGUAUAUGUAGAUGUACUUCGUUUAGAGGCUCGUAGACAGAUAUGUACAGUCAGAUGUUUUGUACUUUUGUUGUCCUCGUCGUUGUAUAAUGUGCUAGCAAAAUUUGUAAGUCCAUGU